rnacentral:rRNA from 1 species
GAGAAUGCCUGACGGCGUGCCUUUUGUAUAAUGAGCCGGCGAGUUACUUGUACGCAGCGAGGUUAAGCCGCAAGGCGGAGCCGUAGCGAAAGCAAGUCCGAAUAGGGCGUUUUAGUUGCGUGCAGUAGACCCGAAGCCAGGUGAGCUACCCCUGGCCAGAGUGAAGUGCCGGUAACACGGCAUGGAGGCUCGAACUCAUCGCGGUUGAAAACGCGUGGGAUGAGCUGGGGGUAGGAGUGAAAGGCCAAUCAAACCUGGAAAUAGCUGGUUCUCCCCGAAAUAGCUUUAGGGCUAGCCUCGCAACGUAAGUGACGGAGGUAGAGCACUGAUUGAGCUAGGGCUCCUACAAGGGUACCAAACUCUAUCAAACUCCGAAUGCCGUCAACUGGAAUUGCGGGAGUCAGACUGUGGGGGCUAAGCUCCAUGGUCGAGAGGGAAACAGCCCAGACCACCAGCUAAGGUCCCAAAAUACAGGCUAAGUGGGAAAGGAUGUCAGAUUGCGUAGACAACCAGGAGGUUGGCUUAGAGGCAGCCAUCCUUUAAAGAGUGCGUAAUAGCUCACUGGUCAAGCGGUCUGGCGCCGAUAAUGUAACGGGGCUCAAGCCUGUUACCGACGCUGUGGGAUACUGUUCGCUUCGGCGAAUGGGAUCGGUAGGGGAGCAUUCUGCAGUCAGUGAAGCUGGACGGUAACGACCGGUGGAGAGUGCAGAAGAGAUAAUGCCGGCCUGAGUAACGAUAAACUAGGUGAAAAACCUAGUCGCCGUAAGUCUAAGGUUUCCUGGGGAAGGUUAAUCCGCCCAGGGUUAGUCGGUUCCUAAGCUGAGGCCUGCGGGCGUAGGCGAAGGGCAACAGGUUAAUAUUCCUGUACCGUCUAGCGACGAUAAAGACGCGAUGGGGGGACGCAGGAGGGUAGGCCAUGCUCGUGUUGGAAUACGAGCUCUAAGCCGGUAGGGGGUCCUGACAGGCAAAUCCGUCGGGGCAUUAACUCCGAGAGGUGAUGGGGAGGCCGCAAGGCCACAACUGGCUAAUCCCAUGCUGCCAAGAAAAGCCUCUAGCGAGUCGUUAGGCGACCGUACCGCAAACCGACUCAGGUAGACAGGGAGAGAAUCCCAAGGCGCUCGAGAGAACACUCGCUAAGGAACUCGGCAAAAUAGCCCCGUAACUUCGGGAGAAGGGGUACCAUACCAGUGUGAGCAGGUUUACCCUGCAGAGCGCUGGGAGGUCGCAGUGAAAUGGGUCAAGCGACUGUUUACUAAAAACACAGGUCCGUGCGAAGCCGAAAGGCGAUGUAUACGGACUGACGCCUGCCCGGUGCCGGACGGUUAACAGGAGGGGUUAUCUGCCGCAAGGUGGAAAAGCUCUGAAUCGAAGCCCCGGUAAACGGCGGCCGUAACUAUAACGGUCCUAAGGUAGCGAAAUUCCUUGUCGGGUAAGUUCCGACCUGCACGAAUGGCGUAACGACUUGACCGCUGUCUCGGCGAGUGGCUCGGUGAAAUUGUAGUACCGGUGAAGAUGCCGGUUACCCGCAGCUAGACGGAAAGACCCCGUGAACCUUUACUGUAGCCUGGCAUUGGAUCUUGGUGCAGCAUGUGUAGGAUAGGUGGGAGGCUGUGAAGCGGGGGC